CUACAUGGUUUAUCAUCAUCAGCUAAA
rnacentral:sRNA from 1 species